rnacentral:rRNA from 1 species
AUGCCUCUCAGUAUUAAGGUACCGUCUGGCUUCUCGUCGAAUAUAAAGGGAAUAAUAAACAUGCCAGAGAAAAAGUUCCAGAACCUAAAGUCUCAUGACUGCCACGUGAUUAUGACACAACUGCUUCCGGUUGCAUUGAGGGGGCUUCUAUCGGAAAACGUUCGAUUAGCCAUUGUGAAGCUAUGUGCAUUUCUCAAUGCAAUCUCUCAGAAGGUAAUCGAUCCAGAAAUCAUACCAAGGUUACAGAAUGAUUUGGUGCAAUGUCUUGUCAGUUUCGAGUUGGUGCUCCCACCAUCCUUCUUCAACAUCAUGACGCACGUCCUAGUUCACCUAUGCGAAGAGAUUAACGUUUUGGGUCCUGUAUUUCUACACAAUAUGUUCCCCUUUGAGAGGUUCAUGGGAGUCUUAAAGAAAUAUGUUCAUAACCGUGCUAGGCCAGAAGGAAGCAUCUCCAAGGGCCAUCAAAAUGAGGAGGUCAUUGAGUUUUGUAUUGACUUUAUUCCUGACCUUAAGCCGAUUGGUGUUCCUGAAUCGCGGCAUAAGGGCAGACUGGAUGGAAAAGGCACGCUAGGAAGGGAACAAAUAAUAUGUAUGGACGGACAUUCUCUCACUGAAGCACACUAUAUAGUUCUACAGAAUUCCGCCUUGGUGGCUCCGUAUAUGGAUGAACACAAGAAUUUGCUACGCUCCAAACACCCGGAGCGGUCUGAUGACUGGAUUACACGUGAAGAAAUCAGGAGUUUCACCAGCUGGUUGCAGACACGUACCAUGCAUGACACCUCUAUUGAAGAUGACAUGUACUUGCUGUCCCAGUUACCAUCUUCGAAUAUAAUGACUUUCAAAGGGUACGAGAUAAAUGGUAAUAUAUUUUACACGAUCGCCCAAGAUAAGAAGAGCACCAACCAAAACAGUGGUGUCCGCUUUGAUGCAGAAACCAAGACGGGAAAGGAAACAUAUUAUGGUUAUAUACAGGACAUAUGGGAACUUGACUAUCGACGUGGUUUAAAGGUCCCUUUGUUUCGGUGCAAAUGGGUCAAUAUGACACGAGGCGGGGUAACGGAAGACCCGCAGUACGGAAUGACAACAGUGGAUCUCAACAAUCUUGCGUAUGCAGAUGAACCAUUCGUCCUAGCCAAUGAUGUGGCACAGGUUUUCUAUGUGAAGGACAUGUCUACCAAGCCAAGAAAAAGAAAAGAUAAGGAAGCGAAUGCAUCGUACGAUGAGCCAAAGCGGCACAUAGUUCUUUCUGGGAAGAGAAACAUCGUGGGAGUGGAUGACAAGACAGACAAGUCAGAAGAUUAUGAAAAGUUUGAUGAAAUUGCUCCAUUCACAGUGAAUAUUGACCCGAGCAUCCCGUUAAAUGAUGAAGAUUUUCCAUGGUUACGGCUCAAAGGGACACACGCGAAGAAAAAGUUUCACACCCAAAGAUCUGGGAUGUGA